GAUGAACGCUGGCGGCGUGCCUAAUACAUGCAAGUCGAGCGAACAGACGAGGAGCUUGCUCCUCUGACGUUAGCGGCGGAAGGGUGAGUAACACGUGGAUAACCUACCUAUAAGACUGGGAUAACUUCGGGAAACCGGAGCUAAUACCGGAUAAUAUAUUGAACCGCAUGGUUCAAUAGUGAAAGACGGUUCUGCUGUCACUUAUCGAUGGAUCCGCGCGGCAUUAGCUAGUUGGUGAGGUAACGGCUUACCAAGGCAACGAUGCGUAGCCGACCUGGGAGGGUGACCCGACACACUAGAACGGAGACGCGGUCCAGACUCCUACGGGAGGCAGCAGUAGGGAAUCUUCCGCAAUGGGCGAAAGCCUAACGGAACAACGCCGCGUGAGUGAUGAAGGUCUUCGGAUCGUAAAACUCUGUUAUUAGGGAAGAACAAAUGUGUAAGUAACUAUGCACGUCUUGACGGUACCUAAUCAGAAAGCCACGGCUAACUACGUG
rnacentral:rRNA from 1 species